rnacentral:rRNA from 1 species
UCUGCUGCCAUGCUAUUGUGAACUCUGAUCCCAACAUAUCUCAUAAGCUCAAGAGAGUUGGGCUUUGGUAGUACUUGAAUGUGAGACCUCUGAGGAAAAGCCUAGAAGCUGCAAGAA